CUGCACUGCUAAGUGACUGGCUAGCCUUUCCUUUGGCUGUCUACUCUCACACCGGUGCGAGAGCAACCUCAGUUAGCAGAAGGGCUGUGCUAGACAACUGCUCCUCCCCUUUCCAUGGCUGAGAACACCU